CUAUAAUAAUUAUAUUAAAUUUAUUGUAAUUUUGCUAAAAGUGUACUGUAAAAACAAAUAAUAUUUAUAUUUUCACAAUUUCUUGGAUUUCGACUCCCAUCCCAUCCAGAGUGAAGCUCUGUCAUCAUCAGAUGAUCUUUGGCCCUCCAGCUCUGCCUGACUCACAGGAAGCUGCAGAGAGCGUGACGUUCCCGCUCCUGCAGGGAUCCGUCAGCCAUCACGGCAGCUGAUGACGCAGAUGGAAACUCAGGAGAAACUCUGGAGAAACUGACAGAACCACGCUUUACAACACACAGAGUGCAGGAUGAAAGCGUCGUGUCUUCUGAUGACAGAGUCGUCUCACGGAGUUCAUCCUUUAAAACUUUUAUCCAGCUGCUCAGAGCAGUUUCCACAGGAAGUGGGAUUAUUGGAAAGAUCCUGGCUAACGUGUCAGUGCCAGCUCUCCUGAUGCCAAGGACGUUCCAGCCGCUCCCAGAGAAACCGCUCCGGGCUGCUUUGGGUUCUGGAUGUUCUGGAUGAGGAAUUGCUCUUAGUUUUUACCAAAUAAACCAGAUUUAAGGACGAAAAUCUGCUCCACUCUCUGACCUCUGGGGUUUCUUUCAUUUAAUAAGUGAAAUGAGGAACAUUCUGAUAUUUCUGCCCACAACCAGAUUCUUUCCACUAUUCUUCCUUCUUCUGAGCAAAAAAGUGACCCCCAAAAGUCCCCACACAUGAAGUACCCGGUUGAUGUG